UUUUCCUUGCUCAAUAUUCAGAAUUCGUUGUUUUUGACAAUUCAAUCUGCCUUCGGUUUUCAAUUUCCACAAAAUAUGAUUUCGCUUUCAUUUUCUUACUCGAAUCUAAAGGUUUUUGUUUCCAUUGGCAGUAAUCUAUACAACUUUUGUGGUGUUCCUUUGGCAUUUUGGACUUAUAAGCUCUUGUUGCUGAGCUUUACUAUUUACUUUGGUGGAAGAAGAGAUUAAUUGGAAGUAGCUCACAAGUUGAAGAUGAUUACACCAAAUAUGCAAAGGAACUGGGUUCAUCUCUUCUGCUGGAAGAAAUCUGAUUCUUUGCAUGCAUCCACCAAUAACAACAACAUUCAAGAUUUAGUCAAAGACCAAGCCAUCAAUGGCAUUGUUGAGUCAGAUUUGGAACUCGGGUCAAGCAAGGAUUUUCUGCUAAAGGGCUACGGCGAAGAGGGUAUUGAAUCAGAGCUCAUGAAACUUCACAAUCUGGCCGGUCCACCGAGAUUCCUCUUCACAA